rnacentral:rRNA from 1 species
CCUACGGGAGGCAGCAGUGGGGAAUUUUGCGCAAUGGGGGCAACCCUGACGCAGCAACGCCGCGUGAGUGAUGAAGGCCUUCGGGUCGUAAAGCUCUGUCAGAGGGGAAGAAAUGCAGGUGGUGAACAACCAUUCUGUUUGACGGUACCCUCAAAGGAAGCACCGGCUAACUCCGUGCCAGCAGCCGCGGUAAUACGGAGGGUGCGAGCGUUGUUCGGAAUUAUUGGGCGUAAAGCGCGUGUAGGCGGUUUGUUAAGUUGGAGGUGAAAGCCCCGGGCUAAACCUGGAAAGUGCAUUGGAUACUGGCAGACUUGAGUACGGGAGAGGAGAGUGGAAUUCCCAGUGUAGGAGGAAAAUCCGUAGAUAUGGGGAGGAACACCGGUGGCGAAGGCGGCUCUCUGGACCGAUACUGACGCCGAGACGCGAAAGCGUGGGGAGCAAACAGGAUUGGAUACCCGGGUAGU